rnacentral:lncRNA from 1 species
CUGAAGAUCGGAGGAAAUGACAGCUGGGGAAGCCACAGCUCCCAGUCAAAGAGCUCACACGUUGACGUCAUUGUUACUUCCCAUCACUUCCCGUGAGACCUGGGGAUUACGUUGACUGCCUCCCUGUGUACAUCUUGGCUUUCUGAGUCUCAGUAACCUGGGAAGAGAGGCUCACCGUGGUUGGACGCUGUCAGUGAAGACCAUCUGUCCACAGCGGUUCCCAGACAACCUUCCCCAGGACCUCUCCAGCAUUCCCUCAGGGACCACCUGCAGUUUAGGUCUGCUCCUGGGAGAAUGAGUCACAGACUCCCUCUGGCACAUUUCUGAACUCCCGGGGUCAGGAUGAAGAAAAGUCAGAUGAAACUUAAGACAAGAGUCUUCCCAGCAAUAAGGAAUCCCAAAGCUUUGUUACAACUCGUUGAGAAGUUCUCUUGAGAAAGCUGGUCAGAGGCCAUCAGUGAAAAGGGGAGAAAAAUACCCCCAAGAGGUCUGCAAAAACCGGGCUCAUGGACGGAUGUUCUCCAUUCAACCACAGCACACACACAGCAGACGCAUUCUGAAUGACCGAACAUGUCCAUCAACUCUGAAGCCUGCGUCCCCUGCAAAGACCUUCCUCCCAAGCUUCAGAAUGGUAGACCGCCCUCCGCCAUCUCCCGGAUCUGUGUACUGGGCUCUUUCUGUCAAAAACGGGCCUCACUGUUACUUCCCUUGUGGUCCAGUGGCUGACUCCACACUCCCAAUGUGGGGGCCUGGGUUUGACCCCCGGUCAAGGAACUAGACCCCACAAGCCACAACUAAGACCAAAUAAACAAAUUAAUAUUUUUUUAAAAAAUGGAACUCAACACACCCCUCCUCAAG